rnacentral:lncRNA from 1 species
UUUUAUUUAUUUGUUUAGGAGAGUGUGCCCAAGUUUAUUUUUCUGUAGUGGUGUUAAAUUUUUAAAGUAUUUAUUGAAUUUGUUACAAUAUUUUUCUGUUUUCUGUUUUGUGUUUUUUUGGGCCAUGAGGCAUGUGGGAUCUUAGCUCCCCAACCAAGUACUGGACCAGCACUCCCUACAUAGGAAGGCAAAGUCUUAACCACUGAACCGCCAGGGAAGUUCCUAUUUUAUCUGAGUAAAGUUGAUUUACAGUGUUUUGUUAGUUUAAGGUGUACAGCAAAGUGAUGCAGUUAAGUGUUAGUUGCUCAGUCGUGUCUGACUUUAACCCUGUGGACUGGAGCCUGCCAGGCUCCUCUGUCCAUGGAAUUCUCCAGGCAAGAAUACUGGAGUGGGUUGCCAUGCUCUCUUCCAGGGGAUCUUCCCGACCAGGGAUCAGAUCUGCUUCUCUGCAUUGCAGAAUCUUUACCGACUGAGCCACCACAUACAUUAUUUUUUAGAUUCUUUUCUCAUAUAGGCUAUCACAGAAUAUUGAGUAGAGUUCCCUGUGCUAUCCAGUAGGUCCUGUUAGUUAUCUAUCUUAUAUAUAUAGCAGUGUGUGUUUUCAUCCCAAGCUUCUGAUUUAUCCCUCUUAAGCAUCUUAUUUAAAGUGAGCCUGUUUGCCUCUCCUCAUCUUAAUCUAUGCCAUUUAAUUAUCCUCUAUGUUCUCUGUAGAACUAGCUCAAAUCAUCUUGUUUAUUUAUUUACUUGUUAUUUUAUUAUCUCCCCCAUUAGAAGGAGAUCUGACACCCUAUUUAUUUUUAUACUGUGAAUUCUGAGUGCCCAGCAUAGGGCUUACACAUAAGAUGGGCUUAAUAAUGGUUUCUUAAAUUAGUGCCUAUGAGAUUUUUUUUUUUUUUUUUUUUGAUUGCCUGUCUUUCAGAAGGAGAUCAGUUAGACUCUCUAAAGGAAGCUGCAGUGUUGUGGCCAAGCCUUGUCAUGGGGUCAGAAGAUGAGGGUCAAAUUCUAAAUUCUCCACUUGAAAAUCAGCUGACUUUGGCCCAAGGGCUCGCCCCACUGCUCCACUUUUCGAGCAUCCUUCUCCAGGAACCCGAACACACGCCGCCGCCCGCUCGGGGAGGCGCUCCCGGCAGGCAGCGGAGGAGUAGGAAUUCUCGAGGACGACCGGGGCAGCCGGAGCAGCGGGCCGGGGAAGCGCCCGCCAGUCCCCGGUUCUCCAGCCUCCGCGCGCCCGCAGGCGCCUCUGGGAGGCGCUGGUUUCCCGGCGCGGCGGCUGCAGGUGGUGCGGCCCAGGCCGGGGUCUGGAUCCCGGGGCACCGAAGGGCCGCGGACUCUCUCGGGGCAGCCCCGCGCUCCGCCCGCUGGGGCCCGGCCGAGGCGCCCCGGGGUCCCUUCGCCGCCCGCACCCCCAGCGCCGCGCCGGCGCCUCUGCCGGUGGCCGGGGGUUAUGAAUGGGCGCAGCGGAAGCACCGCCCACCCCGGACGUGA